rnacentral:tRNA from 1 species
GGGGACUUAGUUCAAUGGUAGAACCCAAGUUUGUUAAACUUGUCACGGAAGUUCAAUUCUUCCAGUCCCCGCCA